rnacentral:rRNA from 1 species
UAGGGAAUUUUCGUCAAUGGGGGAGCCCUGAACGAGCAAUGCCGCGUGUGUGAAGAAGGUCUUCGGAUCGUAAAGCACUGUUGUAAGUGAAGAAUGGCACAUAGAGGAAAUGCUAUGUGGGUGACGGUAGCUUACCAGAAAGCCACGGCUAACUACGUGCCAGCAGCCGCGGUAAUACGUAGGUGGCAAGCGUUAUCCGGAAUCAUUGGGCGUAAAGGGUGCGUAGGUGGCACGAUAAGUCUGAAGUAAAAGGCAACAGCUCAACUGUUGUAUGCUUUGGAAACUGUCGAGCUAGAGUGCAGAAGAGGGCGAUGGAAUUCCAUGUGUAGCGGUAAAAUGCGUAGAUAUAUGGAGGAACACCAGUGGCGAAGGCGGUCGCCUGGUCUGUAACUGACACUGAUGCACGAAAGCGUGGGGAGCAAAUAGGAUUAGAUACC